CUGGUGGCAAACAAAUGAUAGUCCUGAAGCAAGGGCAGCAGCUAAUCACAGCUGAUGGCAAGACAAUCCAACAGCAGCAGCCAAUGCAGCAAAUGAUAAUUGUGAAAGGUUCAUCACCGGAUAAAACGCAACAACAACAACAAUCAGUCAGCAGCAACUGCAGCAAUUACUCCUCAAACAACAACAACAGCAGCAGCAGCAGCAACAACAACAGCAACAGCAGAGCGAGGGUAAAACAUCAAUAACAACCACUGUCAGCCAGGCGCAGUUGCAGCAACUUCUAGCAAAGCAGCAGUUCAUGGUACUUAAACAGCAAGGGAAACAAGGGCAAGGGCAGAUAAAAUUAGUCCCAUCAGGCACAACGGUGUCCGGUCAACCUCAAAUUAAGCUGACGCAGACAAUAUCCACAGCUCAGUUGCAGAAGAUGCAGCCUAGAAUAAUUUCAACGCAGAAACCUCUGACACCUGUGUCCACGACUGUCCAAGCCAUAAGCUCAGCGAGCAGUUCUCUAGCAAGUGGUACGAAUAUCAUCAAACCAGUUCAGUCUGUCAUGACGAAGGUUGUCUCCAACGCUCAAACAGAAUCGGUCGUAACAGUGGGAAAUCUCCUGGCGAACCAAAAGCAACAGACUGUGAUAUCUUCCGAUGGAAGUAUACGUGUAGCAGACAAACCAAGUAUAGGUUCUCAUCAGUAUACAGUUGUGUCGAUGGGAGAGGGUCAGUCGAGGGUCAUUCAAUCAACUCAGUUGGUUCAGGCAAGUACGAAUCUGACAAAUGCACGGAACAUUGCGACGAAAACAGCAAAUUUGAGGGUUCUGCAAAGUCCGACAAGUAUCAACCUCGCUCAGCUCGCUGGAAAACCUGUCAUUCUUUCCCAGAAAACUCAAGGCAUCCAAGGCCAGAACAUGGUCAUAGCCAGCAGUAGCGCAAAUACAAGUGGACAGCAAACUAUCCUGCUACCACAAAGUAUUAAGCAGCCAAGCGGUAGUAACACAGUGACAGUUUUGCAGUCCGGAGGUGUGCCUCAACAAAUAUUGUUGCCAGCAGGUUUUCAAGGGGGCACUCUAAAUAUCAAAGCUCUUCAAGGUCUCAAAGUGAUACCUGUGGCCCAGUCUACCCAAGUACAAAAAGGUCAACGCCAAAUGUUCGCUCGAAUAAUCAGUCCAGACAGCACGACCAAAAUCAUCCCGGAGCAGACGAACCUUAACAACUCCCAAGUUGCUGAACAGAGUAACUUGCAGGAAAAAAUGAAAUACGCAACAAAUACUGAGGGGCGUUACAUAAUUACAGAUAUUAGAUAGCACCACUGCCAAAUCCUCCAAGAUAUCAGUUGCUUUCCAUGCUACGCAGUGGCAUAUUCGUGUAAACAUUGUAAUAUAACUCUGACUCAGGGGUAAGUUUUAAUAAAUGAAAGGUGGCAAUAUUGUAACAGAGAAUAUGUACCUAAUUUGCCAUUUUAGUUGUGCUGGUGAAUUGUAUUCGCUUUCUGACCUCUCAUUACUGCUUCUAAAAGAAAUGGUCUGUGACCGUAAGAUACAGUAAAAAUGCAAGGACAGUUGAAAUAGUAUAACUAUUUGUUUGAACUAUGGGAAAUUGAAUAUUUUAAACUUUCUGUAGUGAAUUGUACAAUUCUCUUAAUUCAAAUUUUGAAUGUUUGCCACUCCAGCCAUGUACAUCUCCUUGUACUGCCAUGCCACGGAAAACGCUUUUAGAGUUGCCAGAGAGCGCUCAGACAUUGCCAAAUUUCCUUUGAUACAAUACGAAUUUUUAGCAAAAUCUGAGAAUAUUUUUCCUCCAAUUUUUCAGAACAUAUUAUCUCUUUCAGAUUUAAAUUAAUUGAAAACUGCAAAAGAAAAUACUGACAGCUUUCUUUUAAAAUGGAAAUUUUACUGGAGGAAAUUUGGCAACUCUCGAUUGUUCAUACGGCGGUUUUCCUCAGCACAGCAGUGUAGAAGGAACUAGGAAUGUUGGUAAGAAUGAGAUGAAGAAAAUUAUAAUGUGAUAUUUUGAGGGUUUUCCUCUCCAAGUGCAAUGAAUGAAAUGUGUGUAUAAUUUAUUUGUUCGAAGGUUGUUUUUUCGUACUCUUGAAUUUGUGUGAUUUCCUUUUGUUUCCCUCUUCUUUUUCCUUCCUUGACUAGUGAAGUUACUUUCGAUAAAAUUAAUGUUAAAGAAAGACUGAAUUUUUAAUAUUCAUCAAAUCUUAAAUCUUUCAUGUAAAGUGGUUGUUUCUCUUGUAUUUAUAUUUUCAAAUGCUGUCAGUAUCAUGCAAGAUGAGCACUGAGCUUCUCAGUCGUGUUAAAAGAGCCUAGAGAAGUUUUUGUCUAUGCAUUGUGAGUGUUCUCUUAAUACGUUGAAAAAAUUCUGCCCUAAGACCAAAGCACAUUUUCUUGAUAGUGCUGAAAGAGUUGUACUGAAACUGGCUAAAAAAUUACCUCCUUUAACGCACCAAUUUCAUAAUAUCUUUGGAAAGUAACAAAAAUGAAGAAAACAUUUUCAAAUAAUUUACAUUGAGGAGCAUAAGUCAGGUUCUUAUUGUCAAAAUGUGGAUGAUACAAAUGAACAAGAAUUAUAAAUACUCCUAUCAAUGAGAAGUUGGUCUGUUGCACGCAAGAGAUACAGCAAAGUCAAUAUAGAUGCUUUACAAAUGAAAUAGCACGAAAAUCGCAUUAGAGUCAUCAGAAAAGUCUCAUACUCUUUCUUCAGCAUACAAUCUGUGUAGUUUGUAACAUGCUUUUUCAAAUUUACUGCGGCUGUGGGCAGUUUUUUUCAGUGGCCGGUAGGCCAGCAGUCAAGUUUGCUCGGAGAGAUAUCAAGAAUACCUCACCUAUGUAAACAAACAAUCUCACAAACUGUUAAAAACUUCCCUGAUGCAAGAUUUCAAUUGAUUCAAAGCAUUUGUUUGUGCAAAACGAAAAAAAGGAACACUGAAAAACAAUUACAUAUAAUCAUACUCUAGAAAAAGUUUACGAAAUUGUUUGUUUAUUCAGGUGGGAUCUUUAUAUUAUGUGUCCAUCUUGAUUUUUGUGCGAUUUGACCCAUAAAUAUAUUUACUGGACUACAUAUAUCUCUUGCAUGCAACGGACUCAUUGAAAGCAAUCAAUCAAACUGCUUCAUUAUUAAAAGGGGUUCUUUUGCUGUGUGAGUGAGGCAAAUGACCAAAAGCCAUAUUUUUGUAAUUAAAAUGAAAUUUUUUUAUCAUAAUCGUUGAAAUGCCAAGUAAUACACAGGCUCAAAAAAUUUUUCAAGUUUUGAUACUAAGUUCUAGCUUGCGUAGCCAUUUGUGUGUGAUUUUGUUCAGACCUUCCUGAAUGCUUGUAAAAAAAUCCUUUGAAAUCUUUAAUGCCUUUGGAAAGGAUUGCAUUUUACAUGUAGAAAAUUUUCCAGCUCUAGCAUGAAAUUUUCUUCUCACACAUUUCAUUUGUGCAUCCUCUACUGUGUAAAGCCUCAAAUGUAAAAAUUCUAGAUUGGUAUACAGACAGCCAAAGUGUGAAACCAUGUAUUUAGGUUUGCAACAUUGCAGACUUCCUGUCAUUCUUUAUUUUCUCUUUUGAAAACCAGGGAACACAAUUUCUUUAAAACUUCCGUAAUUUUUCCUCUCUGUAAGUAGGAUAUUCUAUAUUUUCAAGCUCUGAAGUUGGCUUGUCUCUCUAAACAGAAAAUAAAAUAGGAGUUAAAAUUUUGAAACACUACAAUGGAUAUGCGUAGUUUCACACUCUGGCCAUUGGUGGCAUUCUUUAAAAUUGUUUCUUUCUUAGCCUCAAGCACUCUUAUAAAGAAAACAAUCUACGCUCAUACAAACCACUUGCGAAGCAAUGUCAUUUUUGCAAAUGUUCUUUAAUGAAUACUCGAAGUAUUAGAUUUUUAUUUCAAAACUUCUGUCCCUGUUUUCUGUAAGUCCAUGUUCUAGCUUAUUUAUUUCAUGAAUAUUGGGAUCAUUGUAUCUCCAAAAAAUUUCUACUUAUCGAAUUAGGAGAGUUUGAAACUCAUUUUGUAUAAUUUUGCAUCAGCAGUCACUCUUUGCAAUUAGUUGAAAUUAAAGUUUGUAUAUGUGUAAAAAUAAAAUAAUGCUGUCAAUAGGAAGUAGCCUUUGUGUAAAGGAUAUCUGUUUUUAUCGUAAAAUAUGAGAUUGUACAUAUUUUGGAGCCAUGAGGAAACUUCCAAGAAAAUUACCCUUCCUCUUACCUCUCAAUUUUAAAAGAUGUUUUUUGCGAUACCUCCGCAAGGUAAUGAAUUAAUGUAUAGCUAAUUCAAUUAACUUUAAGAUCCCUCUCAGAUAAUAAGAUUGACUCUUAAAUUGUUAUUUUUAUUCAAAAGUCAAAUUGAAACAUAAUAAAAAAUCAAUCAAGAAAAUUUUGUACAGAAUGUGAUAUGAGUUUCUCAUUGAAACAAAAUUUUAAUUGUGAAUAAAAAAUUGUUUUUGUUUUACGAAUUUGUGAUUAUGUAUUUUAAAAUUACCAUUUCCUUUGGUCAGAGAAAGACAAUUUUCGACAAUGCAACUAUUUUCUUAUCAGGUUCAAAAAUCUUAUUUUAAGGGAGUCACUGCCGUUUAGAAGUGACCAUUCGGAAAGCAUAACAGGGUUAUAGGACAUUUCGUCAAUGACUUUUUAUCCGGGCACCUGUUUUUCCUAGUUGUACACGUCCACGCGUUUUUUUCGGCAGGGGAGUUUUGGUCCACCGACCAAUUGAGACCCAAAGUUAAUCGGUCCACAUGUAAAUACAAACGAUAAUUUCUCACGACGUUUUUGGAUGCAAAUUUAGAAUGUCUUGAAAGAAUGAGGUGUUACUUAAUUUCUUUGUCUGUUUGGUCGGAGACUAAUACAAAUUUAUAAUUGAAAUUUCUAGUAAAAAAGGGGCAGCGGCAAUUCCACGAGGAAAAAAUCACAUCGCGCAACAUCGCGUUCGAUAAAAUCGAAAUUUUAUCUCAAAUUACCUCGAUUUUUUGUAUAAUAAUAUUGCGAUUAAUCGCCGUCGAUAAAAUAGAUAUUUUAUUGCUUUAUGUCAUGGAAUCGCAAUUCACUGCCAUUUUUUAUCCGAUAAUACCUAUUGCAAUAAAUCGACGUCGAUAAAAUCGCGAUGCGAUACGUUCUCCGAUCAAAUCGCAACGUAUUGUGAUUGCCGAUAGAAUCGCGAUUUUAUUGUUUUAGGCCUUGUCCACACGAGCGCGGUUCGCGGAACUCCGUUCGAGGAACUUGUUCCCGGAACAAGUUUUUAGCUGAGCUGAAACUGAUUCCUCCAAAACCCGCAAAUUCCCCCGUACUCCGCGAGCUUCUAAAUUUGUUUCUUUUGAUGUGAAUUCGCUUGUUUUUGUUUUUUACGUCCUUUACAUACCUUGACAUUUAUUUUUCUUAUACUUUGGCGGUCGUACUAAUCUAUUAUUUUGCAAUAAUUGUAUAGUUUUAUUGAAGUUCCGAUUCCAGUUCGGGCGAACUCGUGUGGACAGCAUGCCUCGUUUCAAGGAGUAAGUUCCGGGAACUGAGCAAGUUCGAGGAAUAAGUUCCGCGAACCGUGCUCGUGUGGACAAGGCCUUUCAUGAAAUUCUGCGAUGAAAUCGUUAUUUAUCGCAAUUUAUCGAGAUUUUUUAUCCGAUAUUAUUGCGAUAAAUCGCCGUCGAUAAAAUCGUGAUCUCAUUGCAAUGCAUGAAAUUCUGUGAUGAAAUCGCAAUUUUUUAUCCGAUGAUGCUGCAAUACAUCGACGUCGAUAAAAUUAGCGAUACAUUCUCCGAUCAAAUCGCAACUAAUCGCGAUCUUUGCUGCUCGGGUAGUGGUCCAUCGACCCACACGGUC
rnacentral:lncRNA from 1 species